CGACUCGCGGAGGGGUGUAUUUAUUAGAUAAAAAACCAACGCCCUCCGGGGCUCCCUGGUGAUUCAUAAUAACUCGACGAAUCGCAUGGCCAUGCGCCGGCGAUGGUUCAUUCAAAUUUCUGCCCUAUCAACUUUCGAUGGUUGGGUAGUGGCCAACCAUGGUUGCAACGGGUAACGGGGAAUUAGGGUUCGACUCCGGAGAGGGAGCCUGAGAAACGGCUACCACAUCCAAGGAAGGCAGCAGGCGCGCAAAUUACCCAAUCCCGAUCCGGGGAGGUAGUGACAAUACAUACUGAUACAGGGCUCUUUCGGGUCUUGUAAUUGGAAUGAGUACAAUCUAAAUCCCUUAACGAGGAACAAUUGGAGGGCAAGUCUGGUGCCAGCAGCCGCGGUAAUUCCAGCUCCAAUAGCGUAUAUUAAAGUUGUUGCAGUUAAAAAGCUCGUAGUUGACCCUCGGGCCUGGCCGGCCGGUCCGCCUCACCGCGUGCACUGGUGCGGCCGGGCCUUUCCCCCCGGGGAGCCGCCUGCCCUUCGCUGGGCGGGUCGGGGAUCCGGGCUGUUUACUUUGAAAAAAUUAGAGUGUUCAAAGCAG
rnacentral:rRNA from 1 species